rnacentral:rRNA from 1 species
GGAUAACUACUGGAAACGGUAGCUAAUACCGCAUAACGUCGCAAGACCAAAGAGGGGGACCUUCGGGCCUCUUGCCAUCAGAUGUGCCCAGAUGGGAUUAGCUAGUAGGUGGGGUAACGGCUCACCUAGGCGACGAUCCCUAGCUGGUCUGAGAGGAUGACCAGCCACACUGGAACUGAGACACGGUCCAGACUCCUACGGGAGGCAGCAGUGGGGAAUAUUGCACAAUGGGCGCAAGCCUGAUGCAGCCAUGCCGCGUGUAUGAAGAAGGCCUUCGGGUUGUAAAGUACUUUCAGCGGGGAGGAAGGCGUUGUGGUUAAUAACCACAGCGAUUGACGUUACCCGCAGAAGAAGCACCGGCUAACUCCGUGCCAGCAGCCGCGGUAAUACGGAGGGUGCAAGCGUUAAUCGGAAUUACUGGGCGUAAAGCGCACGCAGGCGGUCUGUCAAGUCGGAUGUGAAAUCCCCGGGCUCAACCUGGGAACUGCAUUCGAAACUGGCAGGCUAGAGUCUUGUAGAGGGGGGUAGAAUUCCAGGUGUAGCGGUGAAAUGCGUAGAGAUCUGGAGGAAUACCGGUGGCGAAGGCGGCCCCCUGGACAAAGACUGACGCUCAGGUGCGAAAGCGUGGGGAGCAAACAGGAUUAGAUACCCUGGUAGUCCACGCCGUAAACGAUGUCGACUUGGAGGUUGUGCCCUUGAGGCGUGGCUUCCGGAGCUAACGCGUUAAGUCGACCGCCUGGGGAGUACGGCCGCAAGGUUAAAACUCAAAUGAAUUGACGGGGGCCCGCACAAGCGGUGGAGCAUGUGGUUUAAUUCGAUGCAACGCGAAGAACCUUACCUACUCUUGACAUCCAGAGAACUUUCCAGAGAUGGAUUGGUGCCUUCGGGAACUCUGAGACAGGUGCUGCAUGGCUGUCGUCAGCUCGUGUUGUGAAAUGUUGGGUUAAGUCCCGCAACGACCGCAACCCUUAUCCUUUGUUGCCACCGGUUAGGCCGGGAACUCAAAGGAAACGGCCCGUGAUAAAC